rnacentral:rRNA from 1 species
ACCCGCUGAACUUAAGCAUAUCAAUAAGCGGAGGAAAAGAAACCAACAGGGAUUGCCUCAGUAACGGCGAGUGAAGCGGCAACAGCUCAAAUUUGAAAUCUGGAGCCUUCGGCUUCCGAGUUGUAAUUUGAAGAGGAUGUUUCGGUGCGACCUGGGCCUAAGUUCCUUGGAACAGGACGUCAUGGAGGGUGAGAAUCCCGUACAUGGCUGCAGGUUUGCUUCUAUGUGAAACUCCUUCGAAGAGUCGAGUUGUUUGGGAAUGCAGCUCAAAAUGGGUGGUAAAUUUCAUCUAAAGCUAAAUAUUGGGGGGAGACCGAUAGCGCACAAGUAGAGUGAUCGAAAGAUGAAAAGCACUUUGAAAAGAGAGUUAAACAGUACGUGAAAUUGUUGAAAGGGAACCGCUUGCAAUCAGACUCGCCUUCAGUUGAUCAGCCUUCCUUCUGGUUGGUGCACUCUGCUGCUGGCGGGCCAGCAUCAGUUGGGGCGGCAGGACAAAGGUGGCAGGAAUGUGGCUCGCUUUUUUGUGAGUGUUAUAGCCUGCUGCGCCAUGCUGCCAGCCCCGACUGAGGUCCGCGGUUCUGCCUAGGAUGCUGGCUUAAUGGUUGUAAGCGACCCGUCUUGAAACACGG